AAGAAAGUAACAAAGGGCACACGGGGGAUGUCUAGGCUCUCAGAGGCGAUGAAGGACGUGAUAAGCUGCGAUAAGCCACGGGGAUCGGCAAAUGCGAUUUGAUCCGUGGAUUUCCGAAUGGGGCAACCUAACAUACUGAAGGU
rfam:Triticum urartu cultivar G1812 contig1330898, whole genome shotgun sequence.